UGUGCAGCUAUGACUGCAGCAGUGACAAGACACAAAGGCUCUGUUCGGCACCCAAGCCUGUCUGAUCUGGGACAAAACGGGGCCACCUGCCCCCCUGAGUACAUCUCUCCAGCAGUGGAUAUCCCCUCCAUUUGAAUCUGAGAGAAAUAUUCUGUUUUUUUUCCUCCAAUAUGGCUGAAAUCAUUUUGUGACACGCCCCACAGCACGCCGUCUGAUGCUGGGUGUGGCCUUGCAUCUGACUCCCCGAGCCAGUACGGGGGGAGAUCCAGACAGAGACUGCAGCGUCACAUCCCCACCCCCCUCCAGAAGGCAGAUGUCGGCAGGAUGUCACUUAGGUCGACACAUCUGGGAACCAGCUGCUUAUCAAGCUAAUUUAACCGAGACUGGCUUCCUCCUGCAUGCGGGCCCCCGAGCGGUUAUUCCAGAACUUUCACCAUCUCUCGUCUUUAAUUGGAUUCCGUUGUCUGGCUGCCCG